rnacentral:rRNA from 1 species
GACGAACGCUGGCGGCGUGCUUAACACAUGCAAGUCGAACGGUAAGGCCCUUCGGGGUACACGAGUGGCGAACGGGUGAGUAACACGUGGGUGAUCUGCCCUGCACUUCGGGAUAAGCCUGGGAAACUGGGUCUAAUACCGGAUAGGACCACUGCCUGCAUGGGUGGUGGUGGAAAGCUUUUGCGGUGUGGGAUGGGCCCGCGGCCUAUCAGCUUGUGGGUGGGGUGAUGGCCUACCAAGGCGACGACGGGUAGCCGGCCUGUGAGGGUGACCGGCCACACUGGGACUGGGAGACGGCCCAGACUCCGACGGGAGGCAGCAGUGGGGAAUAUUGCACAAUGGGCGCAAGCCUGAUGCAGCGACGCCGCGUGAGGGAUGACGGCCUUCGGGUUGUAAACCUCUUUCAGCACCGACGAAGCGCAAGUGACGGUAGGUGCAGAAGAAGGACCGGCCAACUACGUGCCAGCCGCCGCGGUAA